GGAGGUUAUGUAUGUUUGUUAUAUUUUCACAGGGAGGUUAUGUAUGUUCGUUAUAUUUUCACAGGGAGGUUAUGUAUGUUUGUUAUAUUUUCACAGGGAGGUUAUGUAUGUUUGUUAUAUUUUCACAGGGAGGUUAUGUAUGUUCGUUAUAUUUUCACAGGGAGGUUAUGUAUGUUUGUUAUAUUUUCACAGGGAGGUUAUGUAUGUUCGUUAUAUUUUCACAGGGAGGUUAUGUAUGUUUGUUAUAUUUUCACAGGGAGGUUAUGUAUGUUUGUUAUAUUUUCACAGGGAGGUUAUGUAUGUUCGUUAUAUUUUCACAGGGAGGUUAUGUAUGUUUGUUAUAUUUUCACAGGGAGGUUAUGUAUGUUUGUUAUAUUUUCACAGGGAGGUUAUGUAUGUUCGUUAUAUUUUCACAGGGAGGUUAUGUAUGUUUGUUAUAUUUUCACAGGGAGGUUAUGUAUGUUUGUUAUAUUUUCACAGGGAGGUUAUGUAUGUUCGUUAUAUUUUCACAGGGAGGUUAUGUAUGUUUGUUAUAUUUUCACAGGGAGGUUAUGUAUGUUUGUUAUAUUUUCACAGGGAGGUUAUGUAUGUUCGUUAUAUUUUCACAGGGAGGUUGGUGUUUUUAAAAAAAAAUUCUUAUCCUGGAACUAAUUAUUAUUUAAAAGAUCAGACGUGUUGAUCCCAUGUUUCUCUCUCUCAUGCUCUUACACUAUGCACACACACCAUUUCUUUCACAUUAACUAUUGUUUUCGCAUGAACUUUCACCUGUCUGUGUGGUUUUUACUGGUGUUGUUUCACAUCUUGCUACUUCCACGGAAAGCCUCCGGCCACUCACAGCUUGUUUUCUAGGUUCCUCUGUGGUCACUGUACAGCAGUAAGUAGCAGCCUCCCACCUGCCCUUAGGCCAACGGUUCAAAGGUUGUAUACUGUCUGUCUAAACAUACAGCACAUCUGGCUUUCAAUGCAUCAGAGAAAUCAGGGGAUUUUUCCCUCAGUAUCAUAUUGAUUUGUUGAAGAAUGGUUAAAGACAUGGAUCAACGAAUGGGAGAGAAAAAAUAUUUAGGUUUCACAAGUUUAUGUAGUAUAGGACGUUUUGCUGUCCAUUAUAGGCAUACGUGUUGUGCCAUGGUUACACAUAAUUACAUACAGUGCCUUGCGAAAGUAUUC